UUCGCGCUAACGAUUGCAGCGGCAUCCUUUAUGUAAAAUCUAAAACCCUAAAACACAGUUUUAAAACCAAAUGUAUUUUAUAGUUCACAGCACAUUAUGAUUAACCUCUCUUUUUACAUAAAGAUAUAGCGGAAAGCGUGUUAAAGC
rnacentral:sRNA from 1 species